rnacentral:rRNA from 1 species
CGUAACAAGGUUUCCGUAGGUGAACCUGCGGAAGGAUCAUUACCUAGAGUUUGUGGACUUCGGUCUGCUACCUCUUACCCAUGUCUUUUGAGUACCUUCGUUUCCUCGGCGGGUCCGCCCGCCGGUUGGACAACAUUCAAACCCUUCGCAGUUGCAAUCAGCGUCUGAAAAAACUUAAUAGUUACAACUUUCAACAACGGAUCUCUUGGUUCUGGCAUCGAUGAAGAACGCAGCGAAAUGCGAUAAGUAGUGUGAAUUGCAGAAUUCAGUGAAUCAUCGAAUCUUUGAACGCACAUUGCGCCCCUUGGUAUUCCAUGGGGCAUGCCUGUUCGAGCGUCAUUUGUACCUUCAAGCUCUGCUUGGUGUUGGGUGUUUUGUCUCGCCUCCGCGCGCAGACUCACCUUAAAACAAUCGGCAGCCGGCGUAUUGAUUUCGGAGCGCAGUACAUCUCGCGCUUUACACUCAUAACGACGACGUCCAAAAGUACAUUUUUACAUUCUUGACCUCGGAUCAGGUAGGGAUACCCGCUGAACUUAAGCA